GACGAACGCUGGCGGCGUGCUUAACACAUGCAAGUCGAACGGAAAGGCCCUGCUUUUGUGGGGUGCUCGAGUGGCGAACGGGUGAGUAACACGUGAGUAACCUGCCCUUGACUUUGGGAUAACUUCAGGAAACUGGGGCUAAUACCGGAUAGGAGCUCCUGCUGCAUGGUGGGGGUUGGAAAGUUUCGGCGGUUGGGGAUGGACUCGCGGCUUAUCAGCUUGUUGGUGUGGUAGUGGCUUACCAAGGCUUUGACGGGUAGCCGGCCUGAGAGGGUGACCGGCCACAUUGGGACUGAGAUACGGCCCAGACUCCUACGGGAGGCAGCAGUGGGGAAUAUUGCACAAUGGGGGGAAGCCGGAUGCAGCAACGCCGCGUGCGGGAUGACGGCCUUCGGGUUGUAAACCGCUUUCGCCUGUGACGAAGCGUGAGUGACGGUAAUGGGUAAAGAAGCACCGGCUAACUACGUG
rnacentral:rRNA from 1 species